rnacentral:lncRNA from 1 species
CUAGGAGUCAUAAGACUCCUCGUCUCUCCCCAGAGAGCACCCCCUAACCUACUACUUUUCUUUAGACAAGAUGCCAGUAGAGUUGUGUCCUCUUCUAUCACCACACUGGCCACCGUCUGCUUCCUGGACCACCUGGAAGUACUUGCUCCAGCCAGUAGCCCUCUCCCGCCCGCCUGGAUGGCUGACUCAGAGCUGAGAAGGUGAUUUGCGUUACUUCCAGAGUGUGGGGUCAGCUGACUUAUCCUUUGUUUGCUUCUGCAUGAGCUGGGGCUCAGUACGCUGACCAAAGCUGG